GACGAACGCUGGCGGCGUGCUUAACACAUGCAAGUCGAACGGAAAGGCCCUGCUUUUGUGGGGUGCUCGAGUGGCGAACGGGUGAGUAACACGUGAGUAACCUGCCCUUGACUUUGGGAUAACUUCAGGACACUGGGGCUCAUACCGGAUAGGAGCUCCUGCUGCAUGGUGGGGGUUGGAAAGUUUCGGUGGUUGGGGAUGGACUCGCGGCUUAUCAGCUUGUUGGUGGGGUAGUGGCUUACCAAGGCCUUGACGGGUAGCCGGCCUGAGAGGAGGACCGGACACAUUGGGACUGAGAUACGGCCCAGACUCCUACGGGAGGCAGCAGUGGGGAAUAGUGCACAAUGGGCGGAAGCCUGAUGCAGCAACGCCGCGUGCGGGAUGACGGCCUUCGGGUUGUAAACCGCUUUCGCCUGUGACGAAGCGUGAGUGACAGUAAUGGGUAAAGAAGCACCGGCUAACUACGUG
rnacentral:rRNA from 1 species